AGUGAACGUUGGCGGCGUGGAUUAGGCAUGCGAGUCGAGCGAGAACCGUAGCAAUACGGGGACAGCGGCGAAAGGGACAGUAAUAUGUAGGUACCUACCCUCGGGUCCGGGAUAGCUGCGGGAAACUGCAGGUAAUACCGGAUGACAUCUCCGGAUCAAAGGUGUGAUUCCGCCCGGGGAGGGGCCUGCAUCCUAUUAGCUUGUUGGUGGGGUAAUGGCCUACCAAGGCGACGAUGGGUAGCGGGUGUGAGAGCAUGACCCGCGUCAUUGGGACUGAGACACUGCCCAGACACCUACGGGUGGCUG
rnacentral:rRNA from 1 species